rnacentral:rRNA from 1 species
UUAAGCGACUAAGCGUACACGGUGGAUGCCCUGGCAGUCAGAGGCGAUGAAGGACGUGCUAAUCUGCGAUAAGCGUCGGUAAGGUGAUAUGAACCGUUAUAACCGGCGAUUUCCGAAUGGGGAAACCCAGUGUGUUUCGACACACUAUCAUUAACUGAAUCCAUAGGUUAAUGAGGCGAACCGGGGGAACUGAAACAUCUAAGUACCCCGAGGAAAAGAAAUCAACCGAGAUUCCCCCAGUAGCGGCGAGCGAACGGGGAGCAGCCCAGAGCCUGAAUCAGUAUGUGUGUUAGUGGAAGCGUCUGGAAAGGCGCGCGAUACAGGGUGACAGCCCCGUACACAAAAAUGCACAUGCUGUGAGCUCGAUGAGUAGGGCGGGACACGUGGUAUCCUGUCUGAAUAUGGGGGGACCAUCCUCCAAGGCUAAAUACUCCUGACUGACCGAUAGUGAACCAGUACCGUGAGGGAAAGGCGAAAAGAACCCCGGCGAGGGGAGUGAAAAAGAACCUGAAACCGUGUACGUACAAGCAGUGGGAGCACGCUUAGGCGUGUGACUGCGUACCUUUUGUAUAAUGGGUCAGCGACUUAUAUUCUGUAGCAAGGUUAACCGAAUAGGGGAGCCGAAGGGAAACCGAGUCUUAACUGGGCGUUAAGUUGCAGGGUAUAGACCCGAAACCCGGUGAUCUAGCCAUGGGCAGGUUGAAGGUUGGGUAACACUAACUGGAGGACCGAACCGACUAAUGUUGAAAAAUUAGCGGAUGACUUGUGGCUGGGGGUGAAAGGCCAAUCAAACCGGGAGAUAGCUGGUUCUCCCCGAAAGCUAUUUAGGUAGCGCCUCGUGAAUUCAUCUCCGGGGGUAGAGCACUGUUUCGGCAAGGGGGUCAUCCCGACUUACCAACCCGAUGCAAACUGCGAAUACCGGAGAAUGUUAUCACGGGAGACACACGGCGGGUGCUAACGUCCGUCGUGAAGAGGGAAACAACCCAGACCGCCAGCUAAGGUCCCAAAGUCAUGGUUAAGUGGGAAACGAUGUGGGAAGGCCCAGACAGCCAGGAUGUUGGCUUAGAAGCAGCCAUCAUUUAAAGAAAGCGUAAUAGCUCACUGGUCGAGUCGGCCUGCGCGGAAGAUGUAACGGGGCUAAACCAUGCACCGAAGCUGCGGCAGCGACACUAUGUGUUGUUGGGUAGGGGAGCGUUCUGUAAGCCUGUGAAGGUGUGCUGUGAGGCAUGCUGGAGGUAUCAGAAGUGCGAAUGCUGACAUAAGUAACGAUAAAGCGGGUGAAAAGCCCGCUCGCCGGAAGACCAAGGGUUCCUGUCCAACGUUAAUCGGGGCAGGGUGAGUCGACCCCUAAGGCGAGGCCGAAAGGCGUAGUCGAUGGGAAACAGGUUAAUAUUCCUGUACUUGGUGUUACUGCGAAGGGGGGACGGAGAAGGCUAUGUUGGCCGGGCGACGGUUGUCCCGGUUUAAGCGUGUAGGCUGGUUUUCCAGGCAAAUCCGGAAAAUCAAGGCUGAGGCGUGAUGACGAGGCACUACGGUGCUGAAGCAACAAAUGCCCUGCUUCCAGGAAAAGCCUCUAAGCAUCAGGUAACAUCAAAUCGUACCCCAAACCGACACAGGUGGUCAGGUAGAGAAUACCAAGGCGCUUGAGAGAACUCGGGUGAAGGAACUAGGCAAAAUGGUGCCGUAACUUCGGGAGAAGGCACGCUGAUAUGUAGGUGAAGCGACUUGCUCGUGGAGCUGAAAUCAGUCGAAGAUACCAGCUGGCUGCAACUGUUUAUUAAAAACACAGCACUGUGCAAACACGAAAGUGGACGUAUACGGUGUGACGCCUGCCCGGUGCCGGAAGGUUAAUUGAUGGGGUCAGCGCAAGCGAAGCUCUUGAUCGAAGCCCCGGUAAACGGCGGCCGUAACUAUAACGGUCCUAAGGUAGCGAAAUUCCUUGUCGGGUAAGUUCCGACCUGCACGAAUGGCGUAAUGAUGGCCAGGCUGUCUCCACCCGAGACUCAGUGAAAUUGAACUCGCUGUGAAGAUGCAGUGUACCCGCGGCAAGACGGAAAGACCCCGUGAACCUUUACUAUAGCUUGACACUGAACAUUGAGCCUUGAUGUGUAGGAUAGGUGGGAGGCUUUGAAGUGUGGACGCCAGUCUGCAUGGAGCCGACCUUGAAAUACCACCCUUUAAUGUUUGAUGUUCUAACGUGGACCCGUGAUCCGGGUUGCGGACAGUGUCUGGUGGGUAGUUUGACUGGGGCGGUCUCCUCCUAAAGAGUAACGGAGGAGCACGAAGGUUGGCUAAUCCUGGUCGGACAUCAGGAGGUUAGUGCAAUGGCAUAAGCCAGCUUGACUGCGAGCGUGACGGCGCGAGCAGGUGCGAAAGCAGGUCAUAGUGAUCCGGUGGUUCUGAAUGGAAGGGCCAUCGCUCAACGGAUAAAAGGUACUCCGGGGAUAACAGGCUGAUACCGCCCAAGAGUUCAUAUCGACGGCGGUGUUUGGCACCUCGAUGUCGGCUCAUCACAUCCUGGGGCUGAAGUAGGUCCCAAGGGUAUGGCUGUUCGCCAUUUAAAGUGGUACGCGAGCUGGGUUUAGAACGUCGUGAGACAGUUCGGUCCCUAUCUGCCGUGGGCGCUGGAGAACUGAGGGGGGCUGCUCCUAGUACGAGAGGACCGGAGUGGACGCAUCACUGGUGUUCGGGUUGUCAUGCCAAUGGCACUGCCCGGUAGCUAAAUGCGGAAGAGAUAAGUGCUGAAAGCAUCUAAGCACGAAACUUGCCCCGAGAUGAGUUCUCCCUGACUCCUUGAGAGUCCUGAAGGAACGUUGAAGACGACGACGUUGAUAGGCCGGGUGUGUAAGCGCAGCGAUGCGUUGAGCUAACCGGUACUAAUGAACCGUGAGGCUUAACCUU